GCCCUACCGGCUGGAGAAGACGCUGGGCAAGGGGCAGACAGGCCUGGUGAAGCUGGGGGUUCACUGUGUCACCUGCCAGAAAGUGGCCAUCAAGAUUGUCAACCGUGAGAAGCUCAGCGAGUCUGUGCUGAUGAAGGUGGAGCGAGAGAUUGCCAUCCUGAAGCUCAUCGAGCACCCCCACGUCCUCAAGCUGCACGACGUUUACGAAAACAAAAAAUAUUUAUACUUGGUGCUAGAACACGUGUCAGGCGGGGAGCUCUUCGACUACCUGGUGAAGAAGGGGAGGCUGACCCCCAAGGAGGCCCGAAAGUUCUUCCGGCAGAUCAUCUCAGCGCUGGACUUCUGCCACAGCCACUCCAUAUGCCACAGGGAUCUGAAACCCGAAAACCUCCUGCUGGACGAGAAGAACAACAUCCGGAUCGCGGACUUCGGCAUGGCAUCCCUGCAGGUUGGCGACAGCCUGUUGGAGACCAGCUGCGGGUCCCCCCACUACGCCUGCCCCGAGGUGAUCCGGGGGGAGAAGUAUGACGGCCGGAAGGCGGACGUGUGGAGCUGCGGCGUCAUCCUUUUCGCCUUGCUGGUGGGGGCCCUGCCCUUCGAUGACGACAACCUACGGCAGCUGCUGGAGAAGGUGAAGCGGGGUGUGUUCCACAUGCCACACUUCAUCCCGCCUGACUGCCAGAGCCUGCUGCGGGGCAUGAUCGAGGUGGAUGCCGCGCGCCGCCUGACGCUAGAGCACAUUCAGAAACACAUAUGGUAUAUAGGGGGCAAGAACGAACCGGAGCCGGAGCAGCCCAUUCCCCGCAAGGUCCAGAUCCGCUCGCUGCCCAGCCUGGAGGACAUCGACCCCGACGUGCUGGACAGCAUGCAUUCCCUGGGCUGCUUCCGAGACCGCAACAAACUGCUGCAGGACCUGCUGUCGGAGGAGGAGAACCAGGAGAAGAUGAUUUACUUCCUCCUACUGGACCGGAAAGAAAGGUACCCGAGCCAGGAGGAUGAGGACCUGCCCCCCAGGAAUGAGAUAGACCCUCCCCGGAAGCGUGUGGACUCCCCGAUGCUGAACCGCCAUGGCAAGCGGCGGCCGGAGCGCAAGUCCAUGGAGGUGCUCAGCGUGACAGACGGCGGCUCCCCGGUGCCUGCGCGGCGCGCCAUUGAGAUGGCCCAGCACAGCCAGAGUAAAGCAAUGUUCAGUAAAAGCCUGGAUAUCGCUGAGGCCCAUCCCCAAUUCAGCAAAGAAGACAGGUCUCGGUCCAUCAGCGGUGCCUCCUCAGGCCUUUCCACCAGCCCACUCAGCAGCCCCCGGGUGACCCCUCACCCCUCACCGAGGGGCAGUCCCCUCCCCACCCCCAAGGGGACACCUGUCCACACGCCAAAGGAGAGCCCGGCUGGCACGCCCAACCCCACGCCACCAUCCAGCCCCAGCGUCGGAGGGGUGCCAUGGAGGGCGAGGCUCAAUUCCAUCAAGAACAGCUUCCUGGGCUCACCCCGCUUCCACCGCCGGAAACUGCAAGUUCCAACGCCGGAGGAGAUGUCCAACCUGACCCCAGAGUCAUCCCCAGAGCUGGCCAAGAAGUCCUGGUUUGGGAACUUCAUCAGCCUGGAGAAGGAGGAGCAGGUCUUCGUGGUCAUCAAAGACAAGCCUCUGAGCUCCAUCAAGGCUGACAUCGUGCACGCCUUCCUGUCGAUCCCCAGCCUCAGCCACAGUGUCAUCUCCCAGACGAGCUUCCGGGCCGAGUACAAGGCCACGGGGGGGCCCGCCGUGUUCCAGAAGCCGGUCAAGUUCCAGGUGGAUAUCACCUACACGGAGGGCGGGGAGGCGCAGAAGGAGAACGGCAUCUACUCUGUCACCUUCACCCUGCUUUCAGGCCCCAGCCGCCGCUUCAAGAGGGUGGUGGAGACCAUCCAGACCCAGCUGCUGAGCACACAUGACCCACCCUCCGCCCAGCACUUGUCAGAACCCCCCCCGCCAGCGCCAGGACUAAGCUGGGGCGCUGGGCUUAAGGGCCAGAAGGUGGCCACCAGCUACGAGAGUAGCCUCUGACGCUGGCAGACACCACUAACUGUAUGGAAAUGAUGACGGGGCGGCUUUCCAAAUGUGGAAUUAUCCCGAAAAGUUAACAUGUCACCUCCACGAGGCCAUCCUCUGUGACCGAAGGCAGCUGCUGCGGACCCGCCCUCCCUCCGCUCCUGCUGUUGCUGCCGGGCAGCGAGGCCCAGCCCAGCGCCCCGUCCACCCCGAGGCAGCUCCUCGCCUCAGCUCCGCACGGCCCAUGGUAGGAGGGCCAGGCUCGGGGGAGCCUCCUCCAGCCCGGCCAGACUCCUGGUCACCCAGUCACCUGACCCCUCAGCAAGAACAGCCUGCCUGGAAGCCUUUUGGGGCCGGGACCCCCCGGCGGGCAAAGUAGCUGCAGGAACAGACCCGUCCGCCGCCUCCACGCCGCACUCGGAGGCCGCCUCACGCCUCCCUGGCUGCGCCGCCUCCUAUAGUCUUGGCCUCCCCGGGCUGCCUCCCGUCCUCCCGUCUCACCCAUGCCUCCGUCGCCUCCUCUGGGGCGGCCGUGGGCUCUGGCGCUCCUCCCUGGCUGAGGUGGAAACAGAGAGACCGUGGGGCGUCAGAGCCUUCCUGGCCGGCCAGGCCGCUGGGCUGGGAUCAGUGUUAUUUAUUUGCUGUUUUAAUUUAUGGAGUCUCUACACCUCUGUUCAGGGAAGGGCGGCAGCCGCAUCCCCUGCCGUCUGCGCGUCUCGGGCAGUGGGGGGUCCAGGGCCCGGGCGCCCUCUGAGGACAAGAGCCGGCGGGGUGCGGGGGGCUGGCGAGCUACUGUAAACUUUAAAGAAUUCCUGCAAGAUAUUUUUAUAAACUUUUUUUUCUUGGUGGUUUUUGGAAAAGGGUGUGGGGGUGGGGCGCCGCAGGGGCAGGGCCAGGGCAGGGCAGGGCCAGGUUUUGUUUCAGCUCAGGCUCCCAGUUUUUGCACACUCAUCUAGCUAAAGAUGGCGCGGUUCGAUCUGUCCUGGGUUCUGCUUCUCAACGUGGAGAGGCGGCUCCACCUCGGGGGGGGCUCAGGGCAUCUCACGGCGGGCGGCAGUGCCCAUGCCCUCGUCAAGACCCAGGCUGGGACAGUCUCGGCUUUGUGUCCAAGGGUGAAGGAGUAGGAGAAAGGCCCUCAAGGGCCCUCCCCACGCACAGGGCAGCAGGGGCGCCGGGGGCUUUUCUUAUUAAAACGAAAAAAAGUUGAAAGCAACCGAAGGACAGAAAGGGCCAGUGGCGCUCCUCUGCAGGGUGUUCUGUGCAGUGCAGGGGGGUGGGGGCUGCAGGCCCGUCCCGCUCGGUGCCUGCCACCCUCGCUUCACCCCAGCUCAGGCUUCUGUGUUCCCGUGUGCCUGGCUCCCCAGGUGGGCACAGUGCCCGGGUGCAGCGGCUGGGAGGGCGGUGGCGUUCUGAUGCAUGCCUUUGCCACAGGGUCCAUCUGCUUCGGUGCCCCUGCCUCGCAUCCACCUCAUGUAUCAAUUUUAACGCUUCUGUUAACAUCAGACCUCUGCCACAGGCUGGGAUUUCUACACAUAAGAACAAAGUCAUAUAGGACAGCAAACGCCAGGCGGCACAGGCGGAAAGGGCUCUCCACGGAGACAAGGACACGAAGCAGAGCCUCUCGCCCGCCUUCUGCCUCUGUGCUUCGGACACAUGCGGACUCCAGCAGGCACCACGGAAACGGGCACGCGCCUGCAGUGUACCCCUGUCACAUACUGUGAGCAGCCACAGCUCCGGAACAAUAAAUCCCUUGCGCAAAGACA